rnacentral:rRNA from 1 species
GCCAGCGGUCCGGCCGGGAACUCAAAGGAGACUGCCAGUGAUAAACUGGAGGAAGGUGGGGAUGACGUCAAGUCAUCAUGGCCCUUACGACCAGGGCUACACACGUGCUACAAUGGCGCAUACAAAGAGAAGCGACCUCGCGAGAGCAAGCGGACCUCAUAAAGUGCGUCGUAGUCCGGAUUGGAGUCUGCAACUCGACUCCAUGAAGUCGGAAUCGCUAGUAAUCGUGGAUCAGAAUGCCACGGUGAAUACGUUCCCGGGCCUUGUACACACCGCCCGUCACACCAUGGGAGUGGGUUGCAAAAGAAGUAGGUAGCUUAACCUUCGGGAGGGCGCUUACCACUUUGUGAUUCAUGACUGGGGUGAAGUCGUAACAAGGUAACCGUAGGGGAACCUGC